ensembl:snRNA U6 U6 spliceosomal RNA
GUGCUUGCUUCAGCAGCACAUAUACUAAAAUUGGAACAAUACAGAGAAGAUAGCAUUGCCCCUGCGCAAGGAUGACACGCACAUUUGUGAAGCAUUCCAUAUUUUU